rnacentral:rRNA from 1 species
UACGUAGGGGGCAAGCGUUGUCCGGAUUUAUUGGGCGUAAAGAGCGUGUAGGCGGCUUUACAGGUCCGUUGUGAAAACUCGAGGCUCAACCUCGAGACGCCGGUGGAAACCGUAAGGCUAGAGUCCGGAAGAGGAGAGUGGAAUUCCUGGUGUAGCGGUGAAAUGCGCAGAUAUCAGGAGGAACACCCGUGGCGAAAGCGGCUCUCUGGGACGGUACUGACGCUGAGGAGCGAAGGCGUGGGGAGCGAACAGG